rnacentral:rRNA from 1 species
GAGUUUGAUCUUGGCUCAGGAUGAACGCUAGCGGGAGGCCUAACACAUGCAAGCCGAGCGGUAUUGUUUCUUCGGAAAUGAGAGAGCGGCGUACGGGUGCGGAACACGUGUGCAACCUGCCUUUAUCUGGGGGAUAGCCUUUCGAAAGGAAGAUUAAUACUCCAUAAUAUAUUGAACGGCAUCGUUUAAUAUUGAAAGCUCCGGCGGAUAGAGAUGGGCACGCGCAAGAUUAGCUAGUUGGUGAGGUAACGGUUCACCAAGGCGAUGAUCUUUAGGGGGCCUGAGAGGGUGAUCCCCACACUGGUACUGAGACACGGACCAGACUCCUACGGGAGGCAGCAGUGAGGAAUAUUGGUCAAUGGGUGCAAGCCUGAACCAGCCAUCCCGCGUGAAGGACGACUGCCCUAUGGGUUGUAAACUUCUUUGUAUAGGGAUAAACCUACCCUCGUGAGGGUAGCUGAAGGUACUAUACGAAUAAGCACCGGCUAACUCCGUGCCAGCCG